rnacentral:rRNA from 1 species
AUGAUGGGUGGUCCAGUACACCUUCAAGGCAACCUCAACCUCCACGCUUACGUGCAGAAGAAGAAUAGGGAGAGAGGUGAGGGCGAACCGCGGCUCAAUACCUUCACGGGAUUAUGUCUUUCCCGCACGUCAAAGAAACCUGAAGGGGGGUGGGUCAACCUAGGAUCUGGCUUGAGGAUUGAUGCGUAUAGUGGGAAGUUCAAGGAGCACAACGGGCCCGAUUCUGAUCCGGCCUCACAGGACAUUGAUGUUACGGUUUCCCUCCAGGCAGGACAAGGCAAGAAGGGUGGCCGGUUAUAUGUUGGUGAUGGUGCCAUCCGUAAGAAGGAUAUUCCAAAACUCGCCCACCUUCGUGCUACCACAUCGAGCUCAGGUCCUGCUAUAGAGCGUCGCCUACAGCCUGGGCUGCACAUGAUGCAACAAUUUGAGGCCCGCCUAGAGGAAGAAGCCAGGUUGCUGCAGGAAGAAACCAGGUUGCGGAAGGAGGCUCAGGACAAUUUCCUCCUUCAACAGGAGCAAGCCAUGAAAAUGCAGCAAGCCCUCUUGCAACAACAGGAAUUCAUGGCCAAACAAUAG